UUUUAGAGGACGGAUUCGACAGGAAAAGGUGGGGAAUAUAAAAACGAACAUCACCGUUCAAUUAUCUAUCCUAUAUUUAUGUUCAGUUUUCCAUUAUUUUUGUGCUACUAGCUGGCUGAUAGUUAAUCGAACUAGAGAGCUUUUUUC
ensembl:ncRNA Y80E2A.1 ncRNA